GUCAUACUAGGAUUACCUUUCAGUCAGCAUAACGUCAAAAUUUCAAAAUAUCUUCAUCAAAAUUUUCAUUUCAUUACCAUUUCAUGAAUUUGAUAAUAACAAUUCAUGUAACUUUACAACGAAAAUCAAAUUUUAUUUGUACCGUAUAAAAUAUUCAGAAAUUCCAAAACUGUAGUGCAACCGUUGUCGUUGAAAAAAUGGGAAAUUUUCAAAGUGGAUGUGACCUUCGCGACCAAGAAGCUGAGAAGAUUCCUAGCAAUAUAUCAGAAAUCACUACUAAUCUGAUCCUCGCCUUGCUGAACGGAGUAUUUUAUCCUUGUGUGAUACUGGGAAGAGCAACUUGCAUACUGGACGGCUACAGAGUCUAUGUCUUUCAUUUCAAAGAAGAAACCGAAAUACCCGGAACAAAUAUCAUUGGAAAUUUGAGGACGUUAAUGAACUGCGAAGUAAACUACUCAGAUGAAAAUGGAAAAACGUGUACAGGAAUAAUCAGAGGAACGGACUACAGAAGUCAUGAAACUAAUCAACCCAUGAAUUUUUUUAUCUGUGACUCCAAUACCCGUGCUUUUACGUGGGUUUCGCUACCGUUUAUCCAUUUAACUAGGGAACAAGCUCGUGUACUUUUCUGCUAGUUAUUUUAUUCAUGCCAAUAUAGUUCUGUUGCUUGCAAA